GAAAGCAAAAGCUUAUUAAACUUAAACGCAAAAAGAAAAGAAACAAAAAGAAAAGAAAAAUCAUGUCGCUCACUCGAAGUGUAUUUUUCAGCCCUUCGGUGGAAUUUUCUUCAACAAAAUUCAGCAACAAAAGCAAACUUCCUAAUUUGUUUUUUGGUAAUGAAAAGAGCAAGUCAAAAUUAAGAAGCAGUGGGAAAUUGGGCGUCAGCUAUAACGGAUAUCCCUACUUCACCGCUCCCCGCCACCCUCUCGAAUCCGAACUGCCGCCGCGGCUGGCGGAGUGCGGCGCAAUGCCGGAGUUGCAGGCGGAGUUGGACAGCGGGAUAGGGAUCGACAGCUUCUUCGAAGGGAAGAACAUUUUUAUUACCGGUGGAACUGGUCUUCUUGGAAAAACUCUGAUCGAAAAGUUGCUGAGAUCAACAAGUGUGGGUAAAAUAUACGUGCUAGUUAAGGCCAGUGAUAAAGAGGCUGCGCUUGAUAGACUCACAAAAGAAAUUAUGAACUCGGAGUUGUUCGUCUGUUUACGAGAAAAACAUGGUGAAACAUAUGAAGAAUAUGUGAGAUCUAAGUUGAUUCCAAUUGUUGGAAAUAUUUGUGAACCAAAUAUUGGAAUGGAUAUAAACUCCGCAAACAAGAUUAUGGAGGAAGUGGAUGUCAUAGUUGAAUCUGCAGCUAGCACAACGUUGAAUGACAGGUACGAUUUCCUACUUGAUAUAAACGUGAAUGCGCCUCUACGGCUUAUGAGGUUCGCCAAGAAGUGCAAGAAUCUGAAGCUUUUUGUGCAUAUUUCCACAGCAUAUGUUAAUGGAAUAAGAGAAGGCAUAAUCUACGAGAAGCCGUUGAUGAUGGGAGAAAAUGGGAGAAAGCAUGAUGACAACGAUGAGCUAUCUUCAUCCUUGUUUCCCCUAGAUUUGACGGAUGAGAUGAACUUGGCCAUGAAAGCCUGCAUAGCCUCGGGCGAUCGCGACACCACCAAAGAUCUCAAGAGGCUCGGCCUAGAAAGGGCUGCAUACUAUGGAUGGUACAACGCGUAUCAUAUGACUAAGGCAAUGGGAGAAAUGGUCCUCAACGAGACGAGGCAAGACGUCCCACUGCUUAUUCUGAGGCCAUCCGUCGUCGAGAGCUGCUACAAAGAACCUGUUCCCGGAUGGAUACAAGGAAAUAGAAUGUAUGAUCCGGUGAUAAUUUCUUAUGGGAAAGGACAACUUCCUGCUUAUCUGGCUGAUCCUAACCUGCAUACCGACAUUGUUCCAGUAGAUAUGGUGGCGAAUACGACGAUUGCAGCUAUUGCUAAGCACGGAAUUGUGAGAAAGGCAGGAGUGAACGUGUACCAUGUGGCAACUGACUUCGUGAACCCUCUAAGAUUUAAUGAAAUGUUCGAAUAUAUUUAUGAGCAUUUUCGUGCAAAUCCUUUAGUCGAAUCGGAAAAUAUGGUGAAAAUGAGGUUGUUCGACCAAUUUAGUAACUUGUCCACAUACAUAAGAGAUCACGUAUCCGAGCGAAAUACAGUAGUUGGUGUGGAAUCAAAGACUCGAAAACAUAACAAAGCGAGGGUUGCUUAUGCCGAGCAACUUUGCAAGAUGUACGAGUUCAUAGGAUUCUUCAAAGCCAGAUUCCACACUGGUAACACUCGUGCGCUGUUGGAGGAGAUGUCGGAAGAGGAGCGAGCUGUGUUCGAAGUGGAUGCCACAAAGAUAGACUGGAAGAAGUAUUUUGUCGAUAUUCACAUUCCCGGUUUGAGAAAGCAUGUUGUCAACGCCACGAGGCUGGCUGGAGUCUAACUAGAUUAAUUUUUAUAUUCUCAUGUUACAUUUCGUUUUUUAAUUUAUUUGUAUAUAAUGUCUGUAUUAUAUGAUGUCUUCUGAGGUAAUAGAAGUAUAAUUAAUGUAGGAAUACAAAAUCACUGUGAUAUAUUAUUUAUAAAUA